rnacentral:snRNA from 1 species
CCUAAUGUCCUGAAAAAUUUCCAA